rnacentral:rRNA from 1 species
ACGAACGCUGGCGGCGUGCCUAAUACAUGCAAGUAGAACGCUGAAGGAGGAGCUUGCUUCUCUGGAUGAGUUGCGAACGGGUGAGUAACGCGUAGGUAACCUGCCUGGUAGCGGGGGAUAACUAUUGGAAACGAUAGCUAAUACCGCAUAAUAGCAGUUAUUGCAUGAUAACUGUUUGAAAGGUGCAAUUGCACCACUACCAGAUGGACCUGCGUUGUAUUAGCUAGUUGGUGGGGUAACGGCUCACCAAGGCGACGAUACAUAGCCGACCUGAGAGGGUGAUCGGCCACACUGGGACUGAGACACGGCCCAGACUCCUACGGGAGGCAGCAGUAGGGAAUCUUCGGCAAUGGACGGAAGUCUGACCGAGCAACGCCGCGUGAGUGAAGAAGGUUUUCGGAUCGUAAAGCUCUGUUGUAAGAGAAGAACGAGUGUGAGAGUGGAAAGUUCACACUGUGACGGUAUCUUACCAGAAAGGGACGGCUAACUACGU